GGCCCGGCACUUGCUUAGUCCCUGAUACCAGGUAGCCAACGGCGGCCACCUCCCUCACGACAAAGACGUCGC
rfam:Pseudomonas mendocina ymp, complete genome.